ncrna:Heliconius melpomene (postman butterfly) microRNA hme-mir-71 precursor
GCCUCACGAAAGACUUGGGUAGUGAGAUGUCCUGGCACAUCAAAAUUCUCACUACCUUGUCUUUCAUGCGGAU